rnacentral:rRNA from 1 species
GCGGCUUUUGCUGUCACUUACAGAUGGGCCUGCGGCGCAUUAGCUAGUUGGUGAGGUAACGGCUCACCAAGGCGACGAUGCGUAGCCGACCUGAGAGGGUGAUCGGCCACACUGGGACUGAGACACGGCCCAGACUCCUACGGGAGGCAGCAGUAGGGAAUCUUCCGCAAUGGACGAAAGUCUGACGGAGCAACGCCGCGUGAGUGAUGAAGGUUUUCGGAUCGUAAAACUCUGUUGUCGGGGAAGAACAAGUAUGAUAGUAACUGAUCGUACCUUGACGGUACCCGACCAGAAAGCCACGGCUAACUACGUGCCAGCAGCCGCGGUAAUACGUAGGUGGCAAGCGUUGUCCGGAAUUAUUGGGCGUAAAGCGCUCGCAGGCGGUUCUUUAAGUCUGAUGUGAAAUCUUGCGGCUCAACCGCAAACGUGCAUUGGAAACUGGAGGACUUGAGUGCAGAAGAGGAGAGUGGAAUUCCACGUGUAGCGGUGAAAUGCGUAGAGAUGUGGAGGAACACCAGUGGCGAAGGCGACUCUCUGGUCUGUAACUGACGCUGAGGAGCGAAAGCGUGGGGAGCGAACAGGAUUAGAUACCCUGGUAGUCCACGCCGUAAACGAUGAGUGCUAGGUGUUAGGGGGUUUCCGCCCCUUAGUGCUGAAGUUAACGCAUUAAGCACUCCGCCUGGGGAGUACGGCCGCAAGGCUGAAACUCAAAAGAAUUGACGGGGACCCGCACAAGCGGUGGAACAUGUGGUUUAUUCAAAACAACGCGAAGAACCUUACCAGGUCUUGACAUCCUUUGA